UACGGGGGGGGCAAGCGUUGUUCGGAAUUACUGGGCGUAAAGGGCUCGUAGGCGGCCAACUAAGUCAGACGUGAAAUCCCUCGGCUUAACCGGGGAACUGCGUCUGAUACUGGAUGGCUUGAGUUUGGGAGAGGGAUGCGGAAUUCCAGGUGUAGCGGUGAAAUGCGUAGAUAUCUGGAGGAAGGCCGGUGGCGAAGGCGGCGCUCUGGAACAUUUCUGACGCUGAGGCUCGAAAGCGUGGGGAGCAAACAGG
rnacentral:rRNA from 1 species